AUUAAUGUUCCGGCGAUCGCGCCAAUAGGGAGCGUGCAGACUAUAGCAAAAAAGGAGCCGUAUAUUUGUUUCAUUUUUUGUUAGGUCUAUUGAUAAAACAAAAAUAAAUGUACGUAUACAAUUAGCCAUAGUGGUUCCUCCUCCUCACUCAUCAGCCGCCGGCGAAGAGAAGAAUGAAAAAAGAACGCAACGCAUAAUGAACAGGACUUGGCAACCCUGCCUUUCAGUGUCACGUGAAGCACUCCCCACUCCCUGCCACUCCCUCCCAGAUCCUGGCAUGCGGAUGGAGAUCAACUGCAGUAAGGGGGCUUCAAGACUGAAGGAACCAAUGGCAUUGGAAAGAGUUUGACAUUUGGGGG